CAGACUUUUAAUCUGAGGGUCCAGGGUUCAAGUCCCUGUUUGGGUGUUGUAGUACCCUCCAUAUCUUCUGAGAGGACCAGUGAAACCAUCUAAGGUGCCUCUUUCCAGCAUGUUUUGUUCAGCAAGCAAAAUGGGCAAACUAAGGGUAAACAUUCAGCAGGUUGUCAAGUUACUAAUGGUUACUAGGUGAGAGUGUUGCUACCUAAGCUUUGUUACCUUUUAGCAUGAAGUUGACAAAGACAUGGGUGGUCAUCAUAGAGAUUGGAGUCCAUAUAACAGCAUCCUUAUUAGACUGCGCAGAAAAUCAUGGGUCUGUGUGAAAAAGAGCACAUUGAAUGACCCCGACAUGAUUUGAACACGCAACCUUCUGAUCUGGAGUCAGACGCGCUACCGUUGCGCCACGAGGUCCCAGCUCGAAGCCUAUAGCGCAUCAUGGUGCAAGGCAUACUUGUUCAUCGGCGUGGCGAUCAAGACGCAUUGGAACUCGGAGACAGGUGGUGGGCUGUGACUGUUGCG
ensembl:lncRNA